rnacentral:rRNA from 1 species
UAUACAAUUUACCUUAUACUAAGGGAUAGCCCGAAGAAAUUUGGAUUAAUACCUUAUAGUAUUUUUAAAUCGCAUGAUUUAAGAAUUAAAGAUUACGGUAUAAGAUGAGUAUGCGUCCUAUUAGUUAGUAGGUGAGGUAACGGCUCACCUAGACGAUGAUAGGUAGGGGUCCUGAGAGGGAGGUCCCCCACACUGGUACUGAGACACGGACCAGACUCCUACGGGAGGCAGCAGUGAGGAAUAUUGGACAAUGGAAGGAAUUCUGAUCCAGCCAUGCCGCGUGCAGGAAGACUGCCCUAUGGGUUGUAAACUGCUUUUAUACAGGAAGAAAAAAGUGUACGUGUACACUAUUGACGGUACUGUACGAAUAAGGAUCGGCUAACUCCGUGCCAGCAGCCGCGGUAAUACGGAGGAUCCAAGCGUUAUCCGGAAUCAUUGGGUUUAAAGGGUCCGUAGGCGGGAGAUUAAGUCAGUGGUGAAAGUUUGUGGCUCAACCAUAAAAUUGCCAUUGAUACUGGUUUUCUUGAGUUAUUGUGAAGUGGUUAGAAUGAGUAGUGUAGCGGUGAAAUGCAUAGAUAUUACUCAGAAUACCGAUUGCGAAGGCAGAUCACUAACAAUACACUGACGCUGAUGGACGAAAGCGUAGGUAGCGAACAGGAUUAGAUACCCUGGUAGUCUACGCCGUAAACGAUGGUUACUAGCUGUUCGGGCAAAUUGAUGUCUGAGUGGCUAAGCGAAAGUGAUAAGUAACCCACCUGGGGAGUACGUUCGCAAGAAUGAAACUCAAAGGAAUUGACGGGGGCCCGCACAAGCGGUGGAGCAUGUGGUUUAAUUCGAUGAUACGCGAGGAACCUUACCAGGGCUUAAAUGCAUAUUGACAGGACUAGAGAUAGUUUUUUCUUCGGACAAUUUGCAAGGUGCUGCAUGGUUGUCGUCAGCUCGUGCCGUGAGGUGUCAGGUUAAGUCCUAUAACGAGCGCAACCCCUGUGGUUAGUUGCCAGCGAGUAAUGUCGGGAACUCUAGCCAGACUGCCGGUGCAAACCGUGAGGAAGGUGGGGAUGACGUCAAAUCAUCACGGCCCUUACGUCCUGGGCUACACACGUGCUACAAUGGUGCAUACAGAGAGCAGCCACUUCGCGAGGAGGAGCUAAUCUACAAAGUGCAUCUCAGUUCGGAUUGGAGUCUGCAACUCGACUCUAUGAAGCUGGAAUCGCUAGUAAUCGCAUAUCAGCCAUGAUGCGGUGAAUACGUUCCCGGGCCUUGUACACACCGCCCGUCAAGCCA